rnacentral:rRNA from 1 species
GACGAACCGUGCAAACGUUAUUCGGAAUCACUGGGCUUAAAGGGCGCGUAGGCGGGCAGGCAAGUCAGGGGUGAAAGCCCACGGCUCAACCGUGGAAGUGCCUUUGAUACUGCCUUUCUCGAGGGAGGUAGGGGCGUGCGGAACUUCCGGUGGAGCGGUGAAAUGCGUAGAUAUCGGAAGGAACACCGGUGGCGAAAGCGGCGCGCUGGACCUCUUCUGACGCUGAGGCGCGAAAGUCAGGGGAGCAAACGGG